GGUGCCCUGCGCAACGCCUGCCGGGAACCGUGGUUCCCCGACCCGAGUCGCCCGCGCGUGUUGUGCAUCCUCGCCGGAGUCGUGGCGUCGUGGCUGGGUCGCUUCUGUGGUGAGCGUCUGCGGUUGGCAACCAAAGUUGCCACCCGCAAACAUGAUGCAGAAACAGCCACUUUGAAAGCCAGCUGGAGCCCUCUCGGGACCGCGCAUUCCCGCCAGCUGCAGCCCGCUUCUAUUAGCAUCAGAAUUCUUGCUAAAAGUUGCCUACGUUCUCUGCGGACUCUCUCUUCCCAUCCCCUUCUCUUCAGGUGGCUCUGAUGGAACUUUCCUGCACGCCCAGCCUCUGCCGUGGCUCUCCGCAAGGUCGCUGGCGACGGUCGGGUUGUGCAAAGCAGCUGUCAGGUGUCUGCCUCUCUGCCCUAGAGAGAGUGCGACUACGUAGCUCUCUUCUUCCUCAUCCUGAUGGCUCCCUCUACGUGUUUUGGCCCUAGUUUUACUUCUGCGACUUCAAAUGCUCCUGAUUUCCCACCCGCCUCACUGGCUCCUUCUUUCCUUUUUUGGAUCCAUCCCCUCUGUUCUGCCAAAAGGUGAGGUGUGCCCUGGCUCAGGCCUUGAACCAGCUCUUCUCUCGUCUGGAUAUAUUCUCUUGGGUGAUCUAAUCAGUUCCAUGGCUUUAAAAACACGAUGGCUCCUAGCCUUGCCCUCUUUCAACUCCAGUCAUGUAUCUUACUGCCCACUUAGCAGGGCUAACUAAGCUAACACCUGUAAAGAAUUUAGGACAGUGCCUGGCAUGUAGAGAGCAUUGACACAUGAUAGCUGAUAUUUUCUCCAACAUAGCUAUGGCAAAUGUAUAACAAUAAUGCCUGGGAGUCCGACGUGGCCGACUGCAGGGAGCUCAGCGACCCCGCCACAGAGCCGUCCCCCUCGAACAUGUACGUCUGAAGGGAAUCGAAGGGCGGCGCCCACAGGUUCAUGUCGGCCUCGUAGAGCUUGGUCAGCACGUAGCUGUGGACAGUGCUGUUCACGGCGCACGUCUGAGCCUCACUGUACCGCCUUUUCAGUAAGCAGGAUGUGGAACACCAGUUCUGAAUAGCUGUGUCAGGAUGGUAAUGAACGGAUGUCUGAGCAGGCACUGGCAGAACUCCACAGAAGGGAAAGCAGCUCCUUACUCAAGAGGACAAAGAUGCAGGCCAGGAUGGCAAUGAGGGCGCCCCGGCUCAAACUGACUAGGAGCAUGUAGGCCUCUGGGCUGCAGGACAUGACGUGGCCGUCGGCAUCACAGCUGCACACUUGGAUGGUCAAUGUACCUGUGCUGCUCAGCACCGGCUGCCCGCUAUCUGCUAUCAGGAUGGGCAGGUAAAAGACACUCUGCUCCUGCUGCCGGAAACCAGACCUCCUAGUUAGAAUCCGGGCUGUGUUAUCUGAAAGAAGCAAGGGGUUCCAGGAUUGGAAAAGGGAAGAUGAAUUAAUUUCUUGGAUUGAGGAAAGCAAGGGGGCAUGGGCAGGGUGUAGGAAGGAGAGAGGGUAGUCAAAUGUUCCCUGGUGCUGGUCAGCCAUGGCAGGUUUGCCUGGAUCAGCAUUUGGAUUCAGAAACCACGCUUUUUGCUUGCUUUUAGGCAAAACCCUGAGGUCUAGAAGAGAAAGGCUUUUUUUGAGUCUGUCUUACGCUUUGUGACAUAAAGUGCCCAAGGCAAACUGUCAGACUUCAGAUCUACAAAAAUGUCCCUGGGAAAGCUUGACAGAAAUGAACAAUCACUGGUGACUUGUGGUCCCUGUUUGUUCCCGCUCAGCAGCUUGCCAAGGCCCCGUUGCUGCUUUGUGCCUCCAGGAAAAGAAUGCUGAGGAACCCACGUGGCUGUGGCAGAUUGCUUAUUUUCGCCACUUUGGCUGGAAUUCACGUCUUUUGCUGUUUUCCUUUAUGCCUCUGAAAUGCAAGCACCAACUCCUCCAGUGUUUCCUAAAGAACGUGCUCAUUCAGUAGAAGCUUAUUUGAAAUCCUCUAAUCAUAUGACGUACCUUGUUAUUUCUCCUGAGUUGGUGGACUAACUUGAAGCAGUUAAUAUGAACUUGGUGAAAAUUUGUUCCUGAUCAAUACUAGAAAUCUUUCCUCCAGUUUUAAAGAGGAUUAGUCAAAUUAUUAGAUGUGUUUCUACAAAAUUAGGGUGUGUAUUUACAUUGUUAUUCAUAUAUUGUGUUGUGGGAUUUUUUCAUUUCUAAAAUCUAUGUUCUCUAGUUUCCUAGAGUAGGUUUAAAUUCUAAAGUAGAUAUACUUUUGCAAAGCUCAGAUUAUUUUCUGCAGAGGAAAAAUUGAGAGAUGUGGUAGGACAUACAAGAAGUGAUUUUCAAAGCUAAUAGCACCAGCACAGAGGUCCUGUGGAUGUGUUUCAUAGUUCAUAGGAAAGAGCCUAGAAUAUCACCAAAAAUCCUGAGAGCCUAACCAAAGUAAACAUUAUUAGUGAUCAUCAAUAUUUCUGGUUCUUCUUCCCUUUUUGAACAUAAUAAAGGAUUAUAGUUUUCUGUGCUCUUAAAAAAAAAAAAAAAAAAACAAUAAGGCCUGUUCCCUCCCCUAUCUCAGUAAACGAUGUCAUCACCCACCCCCUUGCUCAGAAAAAAGGGAAUCAGACUUGAUUCUUUGCCUUUUAUGACACCUAAACCAUAUACAUCAGCAAAUCCUGUUGGUUCUGUCUCCAAAAAUUUAUCUUAAAUCCAGUCACUUCAGACACUUUCAAAUGCUAAAACCCUACUCCAAGCCACCUGUAUUAAUUUUCUGUGAUUGUUGUAACAAAUUGUGUUGUGUGUUGUUUUCAGCCACUUGCUCCCUUUACUCAAAUGUAUUUUCUCACAGUUCUGGAGGCCAAAAAUCCAGGUCAUCUGUAAGGGCUCUAGGGGAGAAUCCUUUCCUUGCUUCUUCUGGCUUCUAAUGGUGGCCAGCAUUCCUGAUCUGUGGCCACAUCACUCUAAUCUCUGUCUCUGAGGUCACAUUGCCUCCUUCUGUGUCAGAUCUACCUCUGCUUCUCUCUGACAAGGAUGCCUGUGAAUGCAAUUAGAGUCCAUCCUUAUAAUCCAAAUAAUCUCUCCAUUUUAGUAUCCUAAAACAAUUACUUCUGUAAAGUAUUUGCCAUAUAAAGUAAUCUCCAGUUGAGCACAGUGGCUCACACCUGUAAUCCAAGGCCGAGGCAGGGGUAUCACUCAAGGUCAGGAGUUCGAGAUGAGCCUGGCCAACAAGGUGAAACAUCUAUGACUUCAUAUGCUCCUGACUUUCCACCCUCCUCACUGGUUCCUUCUUUCCUUUUUUGGAUCCAUCCCUCUGUUUUGUAUUUUUAGUAGUCUCUACUAAAAAUAAAAAAAAAUUAGCCAGGCAUGAUGGCACAGGCCUGUAAUCCCAGCUACUCGG